UGUGGGGGGAAAAAUUGGGUCAAAAAGUAGUGUGUGGGGGGAAAAAUGGAUGGAAAGGAGCCCCAGAAUGGGACGUGCAGUGGGAAAAAUGGGUCAAAAAGGAGAGUGGUGGGGAAAAGUGGGUCAAAAGGGGCCCCAAAAUGGGUGGAAAGGAGCCCCAAAAUGGGAUGUGUGGGGGAAAAAUUGGGUCAAAAAGGAGUGUGUGGGGGGAAAAUGGGUGGAAAGGAGCCCCAAAAUGGGAUGCGGGGAAAAAAACGGUCAAAAAGGAGUCCCAAAAUAAGAUGUAGGGUGGAAAAAACAAGCCAAAAGGGAGAGUGGUGGGGAAAAGUGGGUUGAAAGGAGCCCCAGAAUGGGUGGAAAGGAGCCCCAAAAUGGGAUGUGAGGUGGGAAAAAUGGGUCAAAAAGGAGUGUGUGUGGGAAAAACAGGUCAAAAGGAGCCCCAAAAUGGGAUGUGGGGGGAAUAAUUGGGUCAAAAAGGAGUGUGUGGGGGAAAAAUGGGUCAAAAGGAGACCCAGAAUGAGAUGUGGGGUGGGAAAAAUGGGUGGAAAAGUAGUGUGGUGGGGAAAAAAUGGGUCAAAAGGAGCCCCAAAAUGGGAUGUGGGGAAAAAAAAAUGGGUCGGGAUGGAGAGUGGCGGAGAAAAAUGGGUGAAAAGGAGCCCAAAAUGGGUCAAAAGGAACACCCACAUGAAGUGUAGGGUGGGAAAAAUGGGUCAAAAGUAGUGCGAGGGAGAAAAAAUGGGUCAAAAAGGAGCAUGGUGGGAACAAAUGGGUGGAAAAGGAGCCCCAAAAUGGGUCCAAAGGAGCCCCAAAAUGAGUCAAAAUGCAUUAAAUAUGGAUUUGGGUAAAUAACUACUGAUUUGGGUAAUUAAAUAUCGACUUGGGUAAAUAAAUAUCAGUUUGCUGGAACA
rnacentral:lncRNA from 1 species